CACUCCACUAGAAAUUCCAAGCUCAAGAAGAAGAGGGGAAGUAUUAUAAAGCAUUUCAUAACAACUAUACUGUAAUCAACAACACCCUAUAUGUAAGUGUGUGCUUCAAGAUUUGGUUUUCCCUAAUUUUUCAAGCCUUGAUUUCUUAAAUUGCAUAUUGAUUUACUCUAUCAGAGAUGUGAUUCACUAGCAUCGUAGUAUAUAGCAUCAUUAUAAGUUGAUAUUGAUGCUGUUGAAAUGGAUUAUUCAUCAAAAUCUGUAGAUUAUUCUGUUCAAUUGUUCGGUUAUGGUUUGGUUUGGCUGUGGUUCUAUAAUAGCUGCGAUAUGAGGUUUCUUUGUUGUUGAAACCCAUCCACUAAAGAAUACAAAAAUAGAAUAUAGAUUUCAUGUCUCCGAUAAAAAUGGGAGAAAAUCUUGAAGUUGGGUGAGAGAUGUAUGAAUAUCUCUUUGUUGUCUACUCUCAAGUAAUUUACAAGACAUUAUUAGAAGAGCUAAGAAGGAUUCAGAUUUGAGUUUAUUAACUUCGGAUACGAGAUUGUUGAGUUGUGAAUUUGCUUCGCGUCCUUGGAUUCUUGUCAUUGCUUGUUCAGAUGUUGUUUACCAAGUUGAUUUGAGGUUUGAUGGGAGUAGUGCAAACAUUCUCGCGAAGAUUGACUUUGCUGCUGCGCGUUGAGAUGGGCCGUCACAUUUGUAGAGCGAGUUCUGAUGGUUUUAAUCUCAGUAUAGCAAGUAAAUAUAGCCUAUAUAUCUUUGAUACCAGAAAGCCACUAUCUCCUGUGAUGUUGUUUACCAAGUUGACUCGAGGUUUGACGAGAAGAGUGCAAGCAUUCUAGCAAAGAGCGAGUUGUUUGCUGCCGCGAAUUCGGAUGAGCCGUCACAUUUUGUAGAGGGGUUCUGAUGGUUUUAAUUUCAGUAUAGCAAGUAAAUAUAGCAUAUACCUCUGUGAUACCAGAAAGCCACUAUCUCCUGGGUUACAAUGGGCUCAGAAUCUUGAUGAACCUACUUAUAUGCAGGUGUUCAAGUGGAUUCGACAAGGUUAUUUCUUGAAUUCCGUUGACGAAUAGAUCUUGUAAAUUAAUCUUUUCGGUUCAUGGAUAUGUCUGAAGACUGGAAAUCUUAUUUCCCUAUCCGCUCUGUCCAUUUCCCACCUCUUCUUUUAUCUGAAGAAUCUACAAUAAAAUCUUCUUUGGGUUCACUUCUGUUUAGCCCUUCUCCUGGAACCCAAAGAACAGAAUUUUCAUCUCCAUGUAUUCACUUUAAAUCUGAUGAUUUCUCUACAAUGUCCAACAACAAUCUCGGUUUUCUCAAAUCCCCUGACAAUGAUAUGUUGGUUUUCUUCCCUAAUGGUGAUAAUCUCCACAGACUGAGAUUUGUUAAACUAUCGCUAAAAAUAGAUGAAAAACCAGCCAUACAUACUGCAUCAGAUUGUGAAUUCGAAAGCGGUGGAAUUGCUAAGAUUAUGGUUACUUCUGUUUAUGAUGGUGCUGCUGCUGCUGCAUUUGCUUCUCGUAAGGGGUCUCCACCUGUUUCAGCACCUUCUGUUACCCUAUGUUUUUUUUUAGCAUGUACAACCAGCUCUACCCAUUGGUUUAGGAUUGACUGUAUCAAUUCUCCAAGCCUGUCUUUCAUGCUUGUUGGAAUCCAUAUUUGGAGGAAGAAUGUCUUCUUUUGUUAGAUGGUGGUGCAGUAAUCUUGUUUGAUGUCAGUUGCUGUUCUGGAACUCAGAUUUCAUAAGACAAUAUUAAUAGAACUAAUAUUGAUGUUUACUUUUAUGGAAGGAUUCAGAUGUGGGUUUCUGAACUUUAAAUAUGAGAUGGUUGAGUUGUGAAUCUGCUUGGCAUCCUCGGAUUUUUGUCGUUGCUUGUUCAGAUGUUGUUUACCAAGUUGAUUCAAGGUUCAACGAGAGUAGUGCAAGUAUUCUAACAAAGAUCGAGUUAUUUGUUUGCCAAGCAUUCAGAUGGACGUAACAAAAAUUUGUUACAUUUUGUAAAGCGGGUUCUGAAGGUUUCAAUUUCAGUAUAGCAAGUAAAUAUAUAGUCUAUAUCUCUUCGAUACCAGAAAGCUGGUAUCUCCUGUGUUACAAUGGGCUACUCAAUGUGGUUUUGCCAUUUGCUGGGGUCAUUUUUGAAUAAUGACUCGUGUUUCUUCUUCUUUGGGAUGCCUUUGCCAGCUCUUGCCAGCUCGACCUGAAUCGGUGGCUUCUAUAGUUUCAGAAUUAUGCCACACCUUUUAUUCAUGGAGUCUUUCUUUGGACCUAUCUUUGUCCGGUCGCCAAUGAUAUAGUGGUGAUUGCUUCAUACAAGAGGAAAUUUCAGAGGCAAUGCGUCUUAAGACAGAAAUCGUUUUGGGAUUCUGCAUCGUCAAUGGAGAUCUCUUAGACAUCCAUCUUGAAUCAGGUGUUGUCCGCAGUUUUGACAGAUAUGUAACGCUUUUUGGUAGUUAGCUCAAAUCAGUCUUCGUAAUGAUUCUCCAUACACCUCAAGGUAGUAAGCAUAGCUUGACAUAUGAGAAAAUGGAGAUGUAAUAGUUCAGCAGUUGGGUCAUUUUAAGCAAGUCCAGUUCGAUAAGAAUUGUAACCAGAAAAGUCUCAUUUUGCGCUAGUUCAGUUUGAUAAGAAUGCCAACCAGAAAAGUGACAUAAGUAGUAGCGGCAUGAGCAAGCAUAAUAUCGAAGAAGGCAUGUUCGGAAGAAGAAUAUAUGUUGGGGACAGUAAUGAAUGUAGAAGGGAAGACAAAAGGUAAAAAUAGAAGGUUGUGUUCACUGCUAGAUCUGAAUGCGUGUGUGUGAUAAUGGAAGCAUAGAAGAUCAAAGUUGACUAUGUAGAUUGGGAAGAAACUCGGGUUAUAGGUCAGCAAGUACUACUUGACAUCCAGUUGAACUUGAGGUUCCCAAAAUUCAUGAAAGAACGUCUCCACUUACCUCCAGCUCUCAUCAAUGUUGGUAGAACUGUGCCUGUCACAAGGGCUCUCUGGAAGCAGCAAUGUCUACUCAGUUUCAGGAAUGCGCCAAGUAUAUGCUCUUUCGUAAAAAAUAAUCUGCUGUACCCCAUUCUCUUCCAAUGAUUUGGCUUCAAUCUGUUUGUCUUCCUAGAGUGACAGCAUUGUUUCUGUGAAGGAUACUAAUGUUAUGGCUUCUCAAAGAGAAUCUUGGCACAACAGACAAUUUCUGCUGAAAGCUUCAUGGAAUCAGAAAAUUAUCUGGGAUUAUUUACUUCCAGCUCUAAAUCUGGUGGCAAAGAGGCCUCGAGUCACUGGCUUUCAACAUCAACAUUCUCAUCUCAAAUGUAGUUAAAGUUUUCCUCCAGAAACGAGUACUCUUUUCAGAUCCUCCUGUCGCCUUGUGAUAUUAAGUUGGAACACUCUGCAUUACAGAUCCUCCUUGAUUUGUUUCCUGGCUUCCUGUUUACCGUUGUGCUAUUUUCUUUCUUUUUUGGUUCAUUUUUGUAUCUCAGUUUUCUCUUUUUGGUUUUGCAUUCCGUGUUGCCUUUUAUCAGAGUUUGCUUUGUAAACAUCCAUUUUGGAGGCCAAAUUGGAUUCAAUAAACUUGAGAUUCAACAGAGA